rnacentral:lncRNA from 1 species
GUACUUGUAAAUUUCCAGUGAGUGGAUAGAUUUUUCUCUCUCCUCCUAUUAGUCCAUGCCCUCCAGCUGCACCACUACCUCCUAAUAGUUCUUGAAUCAUCUUUUUCUUCAAUUCCUUGUGGAUCUAAUCAAGCGACAACAAUCCAAAAACAAGAAAAAGAAAACAAGAUUAGUAUAUUUUUUUUUUACUAAAAAGCUAAUUAAAGAAAUUUGGUUUUGUUGUAUAUAAGGGUGCUAAUUAGUGCGAUCUAUAUAUGUGAAAAUGAGAAUUGGUGGAAACAAGGCUUGCCUUUGUUUGUCGUUGAAUGAUUUUGUUGCCCAAGUUUUUGUGAGUAUAUGUAGACGAAUACUGGACAACUUCGGAGUAGGCAACCUUUAAAUAAUUAUAUACAAAUGAGAGGGUGAGAGAGUGUGUGUGUGAGAGAGAGAGAUGCGUCUUUCUUUAAAAAAAC